AGAAAUCUGAAAUAAUCGCCAGUUUGCCGUGGCAAGUCGAAGCCUGAGGUCGUGUCGUCGUGGUGGCUUUUGUUCGGAUUGUCACAUACACAUAGAUGUAUGUAAGUUCAUCGGAUUUCGCCAAAGCAGCUCAUUAAAUUCGCGCUCAGUUCGUCUGCAGAAGUCAGCAGAAGCGGUUCGCAGUGCUCCGUAAUUUCAACGUGUACAGAGUGUUGUGUUUGUGAAUAUGCAAUGACCGAAUAAAAUAAAUAGGCGCUGAGAAAUAUAUAAAAACGGUAGUUGUGAAAGUGAAGUGCAAAAACCAAAAUGCACCAAAGCAAACGCUCCAGCGAAUUGUGGAAUCAAUACCGACACCAAAACCGAAACAAAAACCAAAGUCAAGGAUCCAGUGGACUCGCCCGUCGUCCAACGAUGGGGCGGAACAAAGGAGCUGCCGCCGGAUCAGGAGCUCUCAACUGUGGCCUGUUGAUGCUCCUGCUGCUCCUCCAGCUGGUGGGUGAGCGCCUGGCGACGCCAUCGCCAUCCUCCAUGCAGGCGCCACAGAAACGAGGUAGGUGUCGCCAUAUACACAAACGAAAAACAAAGGUUCCAUUGGGAAUUCCCCAACUUUUAUUUUUCUUUUUAUCUUUAAGAUUUACAUAUUUGAAAUCAUGCUAUAGUAGGCUGCGAUUAGUGAUCAGCUAUUUUCAUGAUUAAAAAUUGAAUAUAAUUGAAUAGAAAUGGAUGUAACUAAAGUGGAGUAAGCCGUGCCCCAUUUCAGAUAAUUUUUUGUAGUGCAACCACUGUGGUUCAAAAUGGCAAAUAAAUGUCAAAUAACACAGCUCUAACCCCUCUUCCCAUAUGGCUCGUGUGUUUGCUGUGUUGCGGGUAAAUACUCGUAGGCAGGACAAAGGCGCACCACGUUGCGUAUACGCUAUGUUGCCAUGGCAGCCGCGCCGCCUGUGCUGCUGCCAUUGUUGCUCCAGCUGAAGCACUAGAGCACCGAUGCCCAUACCCAUCUGAAGCUGGGACUGAGGCUGGUGGCAGUAUUUUAUUAACAUUACAUUGCUUUCAACUCGGCCUGACAUAAUAGAAAAUUGAAUUGCCACGAUGGCUGUGUGGGAGUACUGAGCUGGGCGAACUUCUAGGGGGAGGACAUUUGAACCCAGAGCAACCCAAGGGCAACCACUGCCUUUAACCCCGGCAGCUCUGCAAGUGAUGCAAUUAAGUGAACAGCUCUGAAGGAUGCAAAACAUAAUUGAGGCUCGGGUGCCAUGAGGUCCUGGCAGGCGAUAAUGAUGAGACAUGAUGGGCCAUCGGAAUGUUGAGUAGCAUCUGGCGGAGAAAUCGAAGUGCCAAGUAUGUCCUUAAUAGAUUUCCAUGCAAGGGUAGAUGGCUUACAAUUUUAGCUCUCUUUAUAUUAAACAUUU
rnacentral:misc_RNA from 1 species